GGGGAUGUAGCUCAGAUGGUAGAGCGCUCGCUUAGCAUGUGAGAGGCCGGGAUCGAUACCCGGCAUCUCCA
rnacentral:tRNA from 1 species